GAUGAACGCUGGCGGCGUGCCUAAUACAUGCAAGUCGAGCGGACGGACGAUAAUCUUGCUGCUCUGACGUUAGCGGCGGACGGGUGAGUAACACGUGUAUAACCUACCUAUAAUACUGGGAUAACUUCGGGAAACGGGAGCUAAUACCGUAUGAUAUUUUGAACCGCAUGGUUCAAAAGUGAAAGACGGUCUUGCUGUCACUUAUAGAUGGUUCCGCGCUGCAUUAGCUAGUUGGUAAGGUCACGGCUUACCAAGGCAACGAUGCAUGGCCGACCUGAGAGACUGGUAGGCGGCCCUGGAACGGAGACGCGGACAAGAGGACUACGGGACGCAGCAGACGGGUACGUUAGGCAGUAGGCGAGAGCCUUGCGGAGCAACGCCGAGCGAGUGAUGAAGGUCUUCGGUUCGUAAAGCCCUGUUAUUAGGGAAGAACAUAUGUGUACGUAGACGUGGACAGCUUGACGGUAACGAAUAAGAAAGCCCCGGCUAACUACGUG
rnacentral:rRNA from 1 species